rnacentral:lncRNA from 1 species
AAAGAAAUUUGAAGAUGCUUUACUGCUGGCUUGAAGAUGGACAAAGGGAGCAAUGAGCCAAAGGACAAGCAAGGCCUGUAGAAGCUAAAAUAGCAAACAGAGGGGCACCUGAAAGUGUUAGACCAGAAGAUACCACUGAGGAAGGAAUGUUUAAAGUGGAAUGAUACAUUUCCAACAGAACAUAAACAACAAAAUACUUAAUAUGCAGUCCAGACUGAAAUGUGUAAUGAAAAUAGUUGGAUAUUAAAGAAUUCAAGAGUGAGAGGCAUCAGCAAGGAGGACCUCCUCCUUAUUAUUGAGAUUUUCCUGACAUCAAUGUAUCCUUUUGAGUAUAUUAUCGUAUCUCUUAACAUUUCUGUUUCAUCCUUGACC